CACACCGCCCGUCACAUCAUGGGAGUUGGUUUUGCCCAAAGUGUCUGACUCAACCGCAAGGGAGAGGGCACCAAGGUAAGGCCGAUGACUGGGAUGAAGUCGUAACAAGGUACCC
rnacentral:rRNA from 1 species